CAUGAUUAGCUUAGCUAGGAUUGUUUAGAGGGCAGUCGCAGUCGCCCCAACUCCGAUUCACAAAGCCAUUUUAUUGGCCUUUGCGAGUAGGGUGAGAAACAACAUCGUGUUGGAAACUUUAAUCUUUUUAAAAAAUUAAAGAACUGU
rnacentral:sRNA from 12 species